rnacentral:misc_RNA from 1 species
UCCGGGUUAACCCCGGCAGUCUCCCUAGAGUGCCCAACUUAAUGCUGGCAACUAAGGACAGGGGUUGCGCUCGUUGCGAGACUUAACCCAACAUUUCACAACACGAGCUGACGACAGCCAUGCAGCGCCUGUCUCCGAGCUCCCUUGCGGGCACUUCUCCAUCUCUGGAAAAUUCUCGGGAUUUCAAACCCAGGUAAGGUUUUUCGCGUUGCUUCGAAUUAAACCACAUGAUCCACCGCUUGUGCGGGCCCCCGUCAAUUCCUUUGAGUUUUAGUCUUGCGACCGUACUCCUCAGGCGGAACACUUAUCGCGUUAGCUGCGUCACGGAAGCGUAACCGCCCCCAUAACUAGUGUUCAUCGUUUACGGCGUGGACUAC